rnacentral:lncRNA from 1 species
AAGUAUUUUCUGCUAGUUUAUACUAUCAGUUUUGUCACCUAUCCUAUGACCUAAUGAAGCAAAAAAAUUCUCCCAAAUAUUUGGUAGAGCACAUUAAACAAGAUUUUAUGGUGAAAUGAUUACUUCACUAUCUUAAAGAUCUCUGUCAUGAGUAAUUGUAGUGUGGUUUCAAGUCAAGACUUUAUUUUAAUAAAGUCUUAUGUUAUCUAUUAAUAUGUUUGUGUUUUUCUACUGGGGAGUUCAUAGAUACAAAGCAGGUUUUUGCCCCAGAGUUUUGACUGUUUGAACAUAUCUAAAUUUCAGAGAUCAGUUUGUUACUAUAAAAUGAUUCAAAAAUAAAUCAUUGACUACUUCAUUCUUUGUCGUGAGGGAGGUGCUUGGGAUUGAGCACGGCAGUGUUUGCUGACUGGUUGUUUUCUGAGUUGUUUCUUGAGGUUUGAUUUUUGCUUUGUUUUGUUUCUACACCCUUAGCCUGGCAAACUGUAUUGCUAGACUGAGGCCCUGUUACACUUGAAAGACAUCCCCACUUGGUUUGUCAGAUCCUACCUGGCUGCGCUCUUGCACUCUCGGUUUCAUUCUGGUUUUGAUAGUUGCUUUAUGCUUAGCUUCAAGCUACUCGGAGUGCUGUCUUCUUGCAGUUGAUUUGGGUGAUCAGAAUGUUUAUCAUUUAUGAUCGUUUUAAAUCUACCACAGGUUUCCCAUGAGACUAAAUAUCCAACAAUAGUCGGCUUGCUUUCAGGCUACUUGCCCUAAUUGAAUGUACAACCUAAAACAAUUCUACAUCUCUAAUUAAGAAAGCAAAGUUAUUUUCCCUCCUCUUAAAAGCAAAAGGCAAACACAUUGCCUUCAUUUCUAUUGUUUUGUAUUAGGACUUACAAAAACAUGAGAAAUAUGGGAGACAAGCUGUGGUAUAUGUUACACUAAUGUAACCUCUAUUGGUUAAAGAUGGCUUACAGUUACAUAUCAGAGCUAUAUCAAAAAUCUUCCCACCGGUGGAAAUGAGAACUUUGUACAGAUUCUCUUUAGAGAAGCAACUGGAAAAGCGGCGUCCGGGCUAAAUGUACUUAGUUCAUCUCCCUUACCUCUUUUGAGUCUUCAGUUACAUUAAUUAAGUUUGAGUAACUUUGCAGGGCGCUAUAAAUUAAUGAUCUACAUGAAGUGUAUUAUUAGAGGGAAACUAAUCUUACUGCUAAGCAGUGUGUUGUAUUAUACAGUGAAUGUUUGUGUUUUGGAAUUUAAAAAUAAUUUAAAGUAAUAGUGUCAAUGAAGGGUUUAAAAUGUCUGGUGACUUGCUUAUUUUAAGUGAUCACCAUUAAGUCAGAAAAAAUGUAUUUUUAAAUGUUUUUUAAAGUGCCUUUUGAGAAUUUUUAAACAAUUGAUUCAAACAACUACAUAAAAUAAAUUACCAUGU